GACAGAGGUGCCGAGCGUUAGGCGGAAUCACUGGGCUUAAAGCGUGUGUAGGCGGAUCGUUAAGUGCCUUGUGAAAUCCCACGGCUCAACCGUGGAACUGCUGGGCAUACUGCCGAUCUUGAGCCACUUAGGGGCAACCGGAACAAACGGUGGAGCGGUGAAAUGCGUAGAUAUCGUUUGGAACGCCAAUGGUGAAAACAGGUUGCUGGGAGUGUGCUGACGCCGAGACACGAAAGCCAGGGGAGCGAACGGG
rnacentral:rRNA from 1 species